rnacentral:rRNA from 1 species
UACGGAGGGUGCAAGCGUUAAUCGGAAUUACUGGGCGUAAAGCGCGCGUAGGUGGUUAGGUAAGUCAGAUGUGAAAGCCCCGGGCUUAACCUGGGAACUGCAUUUGAUACUGUCUGACUAGAGUAUGGUAGAGGGGGGUGGAAUUCCCGGAGUAGCGGUGAAAUGCGUAGAUAUCGGGAGGAACACCAGUGGCGAAGGCGGCCCCCUGGACCAAUACUGACGCUGAGGUGCGAAAGCGUGGGGAGCAAAC